UUUAAAUACUUUCUUACGGGGAAUAAAAGACAAAGUCACCCACUAAAGGAUGACAUCCCAUGUAAUUUCCUCAUUCCCCCCUCUAUUCAAAACUCCAUGUUCACUAUUAUUAGACUUUAGGAGCUCAAUUUUUGACGAUUUUAGAGGAGGGUUUUCAUCAAUCUUGAGUGGAUUUAGUCUAUUUCAAGAUCGAUCGCGAAGGAAAAGCUCCGUGUUGAAGGUCCAGACUAGAGGUUCGACAAUUUGAGGUACUGAGCCGGUCAUUCAGGGCAUUGAUUUUAGCCCAUUUUCGUGCGAGGAUUUUCAGACUUCCGAGACUUAAAAAUAGCUACAAUGACUUCGUGGCUUCUUCAGAUUUCUUCUUUCUUACGUCGUUUCAUUGUAUUGGAGGUAUUCCGAAUAUUUUGAUUGUAUUUCAUUAUUCUAAAGGCUCGACUUAUAACUUCCAGAAUUUUGGGAUGUUCUUGUCUUUCUGACUUCUUAAUGACAUGUACAUUAUGAGUUUUGGUUUGAAAAUUAUUGUUAUUUCACUCCUUCA